UACGGAGGGGGCUAGCGUUGUUCGGAAUUACUGGGCGUAAAGCGCACGUAGGCGGCUACACAAGUCAGAGGUGAAAGCCCGGGGCUCAACCCCGGAACUGCCUUUGAAACUGGGUGGCUAGAAUCUUGGAGAGGCGAGUGGAAUUCCGAGUGUAGAGGUGAAAUUCGUAGAUAUUCGGAAGAACACCAGUGGCGAAGGCGACUCGCUGGACAAGUAUUGACGCUGAGGUGCGAAAGCGUGGGGAGCAAACAGG
rnacentral:rRNA from 1 species